UGCGAAGCGCACACGCACGCACGCAGCUCGCGGGGAAGUGCCAACCCUCUGAUUGCGGACACGCUGUUUAUAUGGGUUUCGAAUUGGUGCGGACACUGGAAUGCUUUGAAUGCUUCAAGCCAGCACAGAAAAUAAAAGACAGGAGAAAUUCGGAGGAAAGGCCAGACAGAGGGAAAAGAAAGACGAGGAGACUUUGGCAAGGUUGAAGGUCGGAUGUUAUCGCUGUCAUCCCCAAAUCCCCGUUGUGCGGAAUUUGUUGUACCCUCGUUACUCACCAGAAGGACACAACAAACCACACAGUGCACGCAGGGAGUGACCUCAGCCGACUAUAAACUCCCAGUGCAUACUCUAUUGCCAGAGUUUAUAACUGAGGAACUGAAAGAGCGCAACAGCAAAAGCAAGAGCGAGAAAAAAAAGAGGAUAGAAGAAGAAGAGUUGAUCGCAUCAUGACCCUCGACACACGUGCCGCUUUGCACACACCCCAGAUAUUAAGAUGACUUAAUAAGCCUACCUCCAAAUAGAGGGCAGACGCUCCUCCAGGCGCUGACACCUCCCAGGCUGGUGAACUGUCCCAGCGAGGUCUCCAGGAGGAAGAGGGGGAUGCCGCACAGCACCAGGAACAACAGCAGAGGUACGGGAACCGCCAGACGUUGCCGAGGCCGAUGAUCUGCCCCGCCACGGCCAGGAGGAACUCGGCCUUACUCGCCCACUGGCCUCGGGCGUGCAGGACGACUUUGGGGGCUUCUUUCCCGUUGGGGAGGCUCAGCUCGAGGGGCUUCGUCAGCAGCGGCUCCCCCUGCUGCAGAGGAGUUUGGUCGGCCAUGACUUGUUCAGACGGCAACGCACGCACACAGACCCCUGAAGAAACAACAACAAAAAAAAAAACACAUUAAGGAGGGGUGAUACAGAAUGUAAUAAGCUGCGGAUGCUGAACCAUUUACAAAACAAGGACUGGAGCGCAAAGCAGGGUUCACUCACAUCUCAGCAGCUGGGUUUAAAUGACAGUUGGUCCGACCUCCUCACUUAUCUGCGAUGUGUGACCCAAGGACAAACCUACGUGGGUGUGUGUUCUUUAUCUGCGCUCUGCAGCACAGUCAAGGCCUAAAUUUGGAGGGGUUUUUUCAGAUGGUGCAUCUGGGUGAGGAUUUACUCUUUAAUAAAAGUGUUUGAGGAUGA